rnacentral:rRNA from 1 species
GCCUAUUCGGGGUGGAUUAGUGGCGAACGGGUGAGUAACACGUGGGCAAUCUGCCCUUCACUCUGGGACAAGCCCUGGAAACGGGGUCUAAUACCGGAUAACACUCUGUCCCGCAUGGGACGGGGUUAAAAGCUCCGGCGGUGAAGGAUGAGCCCGCGGCCUAUCAGCUUGUUGGUGGGGUAAUGGCCUACCAAGGCGACGACGGGUAGCCGGCCUGAGAGGGCGACCGGCCACACUGGGACUGAGACACGGCCCAGACUCCUACGGGAGGCAGCAGUGGGGAAUAUUGCACAAUGGGCGAAAGCCUGAUGCAGCGACGCCGCGUGAGGGAUGACGGCCUUCGGGUUGUAAACCUCUUUCAGCAGGGAAGAAGCGAAAGUGACGGUACCUGCAGAAGAAGCGCCGGCUAACUACGUGCCAGCAGCCGCGGUAAUACGUAGGGCGCAAGCGUUGUCCGGAAUUAUUGGGCGUAAAGAGCUCGUAGGCGGCUUGUCACGUCGGAUGUGAAAGCCCGGGGCUUAACCCCGGGUCUGCAUUCGAUACGGGCUAGCUAGAGUGUGGUAGGGGAGAUCGGAAUUCCUGGUGUAGCGGUGA